CCAAUAGCGUAUAUUAAAGUUGUUGCAGUUAAAAAGCUCGUAGUUGAAUUUCGGAAUCUGUCCAUCGGUCGGGCUUCACUGUCCGUACUGGUGUGGUGGGUUCUUACCUUCUGAAUAACCAGCAUGCCAUUCACUUGGUGCGUUGGGGAAGCAGGACUAUUACCUUGAAAAAAUUAGAGUGCUCAAAGCAGGCCAGUGCCUGAAUACAUUAGCAUGGAAUAAUAAAAUAGGACGGCAUGGUUCUAUUUUGUUGGUUUCUAGGAUCACCGUAAUGAUUAAUAGGGAUAGUUGGGGGCAUUAGUAUUCAAUUGUCAGAGGUGAAAUUCUUGGAUUUAUUGAAGACUAACUUCUGCGAAAGCAUUUGCCAAGGAUGUUUUCAUUAAUCAAGAACGAGAGUUAGGGGAUCGAAGACGAUCAGAUACCGUCGUAGUCUUAACCAUAAACUAUGCCGACUAGGGAUCGGACGAUGUUAAUUUUUUAAUGACUCGUUCGGCGCCUUACG
rnacentral:rRNA from 1 species